rnacentral:lncRNA from 1 species
GCUCAGUUUUAUAAAAGUUAUAAAUCAGUUGGUCCAUGGACUUAGUAUAAACAGGUAGAUGAUCACAAAAGCACUGGUCCCACAUAGUGCCUGUAUUUAAUUACAGCAUUAGGGACUUGACUGAUUCCCAGGUAGAUGAGAGCCUGAUGCUUCCCCAUAGGUCCCAGCCAUACCCUCUCUUGCCUCCUUUCCCACCCCACUGGGUGCUCUGUACUAUACCAGAUGGUAGCUUCCAGAAAGUAACUAGCUUUUGCCUUCCACGCUGAAGAUGUUUCCUUUACUACUACAUUAAAAAUACAGCUUGCAUUUUAUAGCUUCAUUUCCUUCUAGGGAUUUCAAAUUUUUAAGUAAUUAAAAGCUAGGGAGUCAUAUACAAACCUCAGAGUGCUGUACAGCCACUAUUAGAUAUUAUAGUGACAUUGUUUAGCAGAAAAUAAAUUACCAAUAUGAUUAGAGUGGGAGAGACAUCAACACUGAGAAAACUAUCAAAAACACAAAAGAUGGCCACAUAGCUGGACAAGAUCUAUACUUUAAAUAUCUCAGAGUACAUUGUGCAUCUCUAUCCCAAUUCCAAAGGAGAAUUUUUUAUACCACAUUUCUCAAACGGACCAUGGGGAAGGGAAAUACUACCAUGGAUCAUGUCUGGGUUUGAGGAAGGAGAAACACACUGCCAUGGUGACACUGCAACUGGAAUGAGAGAUGUGUCCAGGAGGAAGUGUUUCAAGCAGCACCAAGAGCAAGCUUCUACAUGGCCACUUUGUGGACACAGUACUAAGGAAGUUACUAGAUGCUUAGUUCUCUGAAGUGAAUUGUGCUGAACAGGGAAACGGAAAUCUACCUGUGCCUCAAGAGAAGACAGCAGGG